rnacentral:rRNA from 1 species
UGGGGAAUAUUGCACAAUGGGGGGAACCCUGAUGCAGCAACGCCGCGUGGGUGAAGAAGUAUUUCGGUAUGUAAAGCCCUAUCAGCAGGGAAGAAGAUGACGGUACCUGACUAAGAAGCCCCGGCUAAAUACGUGCCAGCAGCCGCGGUAAUACGUAUGGGGCAAGCGUUAUCCGGAUUUACUGGGUGUAAAGGGAGCGCAGGCGGCGCGGCAAGUCAGAUGUGAAAGCCCGGGGCUCAACCCCGGGACUGCAUUUGAAACUGCCGUGCUGGAGUGUCGGAGAGGCAAGUGGAAUUCCUAGUGUAGCGGUGAAAUGCGUAGAUAUUAGGAGGAACACCAGUGGCGAAGGCGGCUUGCUGGACGAUAACUGACGCUGAGGCUCGAAAGCGUGGGGAGCAAACAGG